AAUGGGAUAACUGGGUCAAAUUGUUUCAUUCCAAAUUUUCUAAGGAAUCUCCAUACUGCUUUCCAGAGUGGUUGCAAAAUUUACAGUCCCACCAGUAAU
rnacentral:pre_miRNA from 1 species